UUUCCGUAGGUGAACCUGCGGAAGGAUCAUUAAAGAAUUGCCCCGUCUUCUCGAAGAUGGGUUCUAUUCCAAACCGUGUUUACAUACCUUUGUUGCUUUUGCGGGCCGCCGCUUCGGCGUUGGCUCCGGCUGACUGCGCCUGCCAGAGGACAACAACUCUUUUGUGUAGUAAUGUCUGAGUACUAUAUAAUAGUUAAAGCUUUCAACAACGGAUCUCUUGGUUCUG
rnacentral:misc_RNA from 1 species